rnacentral:rRNA from 1 species
UACAGAGGGGGCAAGCGUUGUUCGGAAUUACUGGGCGUAAAGGGCGCGUAGGCGGCCCGCUAAGUCGAACGUGAAAUCCCCGAGCUCAACUCGGGAACUGCGUCCGAUACUGGCGGGCUUGAAUCCGGGAGAGGGAUGCGGAAUUCCAGGUGUAGCGGUGAAAUGCGUAGAUAUUGGGAGGAACACCAGUGGCGAAGGCGGCUCACUGGACCGGAACUGACGCUGAGGCACGAAAGCGUGGGUAGCAAACAGG